CGCAGUAGCUCAAUGGUAGAGCAGCGGUCCCAAAGCCGUUGGUUGUGGGUUCGAAUCCCACUUUGCAA
rnacentral:tRNA from 1 species